AUUGAACGCUAGCGGGAUGCCUUACACAUGCAAGUCGAACGGAGUGGCGAACGGGUGAGUAAUGUAUCGGAACGUGCCCAGUAGCGGGGGAUAACUACGCGAAAGCGUAGCUAAUACCGCAUACUCUUGGAGCGGUCGCUAUCGGAUAGCUAGUGGGUGGGGUAACGGCUCACCAAGGCGACGAGCCGUAGCUGGUUUGAGAGGACGACCAGCCACAUUGGGACUGAGACACGGCCCAGACUCCUACUGGAGGCAGCAGUGGGGAAUUUUGCACAAGGGGGGAAACCCUGAUCCAGCCAUCCCGCGUGUGUGAUGAAGGCCUUCGGUUUGUAAAGCACUUUUAGCAGGAAAGCGGUACCUGCAGAAGAAGCACCGGCUAACUACGUGCCAGCAGCCGCGGUAAUUC
rnacentral:rRNA from 1 species